rnacentral:tRNA from 1 species
GCAGGGGUUCCCGAGUGGUCAAAGGGGCAGGGCUUAGGACCCUGUGAUGUAGAUCUUCGAGCGUUCGAAUCGCUCCUCCUGCA